AGGAUUCAAACUGAACAGCAGGUUACUGUUUUAUGUAUAUAUUGUGACCUAAAUUUGAGGGCAUAAAGAAAACCCCGAGAGGAGCCUCAUGAGAAUGGUACCUGCUUGUCUGUGCCAGGGGAGGGUGUCGCUAACCCUCUCCACGUUCUUACUUUCGGUUGAGUCUGCGUGAUGAAGAUGUAUGACUUUUCCCUCUAAUGGAAAGAAGCAGACUAGAGCCCCUGAAGAGAGCCCAGGAGAGGAUAUUUGUGAAGGUGCAGCCCAGGUGAAGCAAGAAACUCCAAGAUAUUUGGAGACACCUGUAUCAUGGAUGACCACAAGCAAGGAUACCAAGAACAGCAGCAGAGGUGAAGUGGAGCAAUCUGGAGCCUAGAAGACAAGCUGUGUGAUGGGAGUAGCUGUUUGAAUUCCUGCCUCGACUUCCCUGAAGUGAUGGGCUGUCAUCUGGAAUUUUAAGCCAAACAAGCCCUUCCUCCCCAAAGUUGCCUCUGGCCCUGAUGUUUCAUUAGAGCCAACAGCCUUGAAGGAAGGCCGUGCCUUGUCUGCCUCCCCCAUAGCUCCUUGGGAUUAGUGCUGUCCACAGGGAACGUGUGCAUGGCUCUGAAUCACCUCACCCCACUUGGUCAAGCUGAUGUGAAGACAGCAGCCUCUGGCAGAGAACACUCAGCUUUCUAGAAAUUACUGGAGUUGGCACAGCUUCAAGGCAUUGGUUUUCUUUCAACGAGUGAAGCUGAACAUUUUAUUUCUUGACAAUUCGGAGAUAAUUUGAAAUUUCUGUUUGUGACUAGCCUGUUUCAAAAGGGAUGGGGUCUGGGGAGGUGGGAGGUGGUUCACCCUGUAAAGCACUUGCCUCCAUAAUGGAUAAUGGGAGGACCUUGAUUUGGAUCUCUAGCGCCCUGUAAACAAACAAGUGUAGCAGAGUGGUGGGGCUGUAACCCCUAGGCUGCAGAGACUGGAGGUUUCUUCCUCUCUCCUUCUCCUCAUCUCCCUUCCUCUCCUCCCCCUCUCUCCCUCUCCUCCUCCUCUUCCUCCUCCUCCUCUCCCUCUCCUCCUCCUCUCC
rnacentral:lncRNA from 1 species